rnacentral:rRNA from 1 species
GACGAAGGUGGCUAGCGUUGCUCGGAAUUACUGGGCAUAAAGCGCGCGUAGGUGGUCCUGUAAGCGGAGGAUGAAAGCCCAUGGCUCACCCAUGGAACUGUCCUUCGGGCUGCAGGGCUGGAGGGCGGGAGGGGAGAAUGGAAUUCCCGGUGUAGCGGUGAAAUGCGCAGAUAUCAGGAAGAACACCGGUGGCGAAAGCGCUCUGCUGGACCUUAACUGACACUGAGGGACGAAAGCUAGGGGAGCGAAUGGG